rnacentral:rRNA from 1 species
AGAGUUUGAUCCUGGCUCAGAGCGAACGCUGGCGGCAGGCCUAACACAUGCAAGUCGAACGGACCCUUCGGGGUUAGUGGCGGACGGGUGAGUAACACGUGGGAACGUGCCUUUAGGUUCGGAAUAGCUCCUGGAAACGGGUGGUAAUGCCGAAUGUGCCCUUCGGGGGAAAGAUUUAUCGCCUUUAGAGCGGCCCGCGUCUGAUUAGCUAGUUGGUGAGGUAACGGCUCACCAAGGCGACGAUCAGUAGCUGGUCUGAGAGGAUGACCAGCCACACUGGGACUGAGACACGGCCCAGACUCCUACGGGAGGCAGCAGUGGGGAAUCUUGCGCAAUGGGCGAAAGCCUGACGCAGCCAUGCCGCGUGAAUGAUGAAGGUCUUAGGAUUGUAAAAUUCUUUCACCGGGGACGAUAAUGACGGUACCCGGAGAAGAAGCCCCGGCUAACUUCGUGCCAGCGGCCGCGGUAAUACGAAGGGGGCUAGCGUUGCUCGGAAUUACUGGGCGUAAAGGGCGCGUAGGCGG